rnacentral:sRNA from 1 species
GUUGGAGUGGCACAGACUGGAUCUGGGAAAACAUUGUCUUAUUUGCUUCCUGCCAUUGUCCAUAUCAACCAUCAGCCAUUCCUAGAGAGAGGUGAUGGGCCUAUUUGUUUGGUGCUGGCACCAACUCGGGAACUGGCCCAACAGGUGCAGCAAGUAGCUGCUGAAUAUUGUAGAGCAUGUCGCUUGAAGUCUACUUGUAUCUACGGUGGUGCUCCUAAGGGACCACAAAUACGUGAUUUGGAGAGAGGUAUGUAAUGAAAAGUGUUUUAUUUGUCAUUGGUGCUAAAUAUCCUAGGUAUUGUAGUUACACUUACGUAUUUAAUUAAAGGUGUGGAAAUCUGUAUUGCAACACCUGGAAGACUGAUUGACUUUUUAGAGUGUGGAAAAACCAAUCUGAGAAGAACAACCUACCUUGUCCUUGAUGAAGCAGAUAGAAUGCUUGAUAUGGGCUUUGAACCCCAAAUAAGGAAGAUUGUGGAUCAAAUAAGAGUAAGUGUCCUUUGAAAUAUGUGACCAAACUGAAUUCUGUUUUCACUCUUAAGAGUCUGAUACUAAUUUUUCCCCCCAAAAUCCAUUAGCCUGAUAGGCAAACUCUAAUGUGGAGUGCGACUUGGCCAAAAGAAGUAAGACAGCUUGCUGAAGAUUUCCUGAAAGACUAUAUUCAUAUAAACAUUGGUGCACUUGAACUGAGUGCAAACCACAACAUUCUUCA